CAGGUGAGAAAUCUGCAGUGAAGAAAGGUACAUCCCAAGGGGACACCGACAGCUGAGGGAGAGAAGAUCUGAGUCAGAGAGGAGUUCUGGAGAAACCAAGCGCAUCCCCCUCAACAUGAACUCCAGUCAAGAUUGGUCAGGUGCAGUGGCUUAUGCCUGUAAUCCCAGCUGAGGCAGGAGGAUCGCUUGAGCCCAGGAGUUUGAGACCAGCCUCGCCCACAUCUUCCAUCAGAGGAUCCCACGAAAACAGUGCCAAAGAGAAUUCAGAACUACGUCCACUGGUCCAGUAACCCAUGGUUCCCACAGCAGGUGUCUCCCUCAACCCAACCUGGACGGGGGGCCACCUGGAUUGACAUUCGUCAUCUCUUCCACUGGACCGUGAGCUCCUUGAGGGCAGAUAAGAAAACUGAGGCUCAGAACGGGAAGUUCAUUGCUCAUCAUCAAACAUCCAGGAAAUGGUGGAGCCUGAAUGGGAACUCAGCUUCCAACAUGGCGUGGAUGUGGCCCAUCCCUUGGUGGCCUGGCUGGGUCUAUCUUAUGACAGUACGAGAUUGAAUGUUGGAGUGCCUUGCAGAAGAGAGAGAAAAUGUUGCUAAAACUUCAGGGGAAUGACUGGU
rnacentral:lncRNA from 1 species